rnacentral:rRNA from 2 species
CUGGUGUCAGCCGCCGCGGUAAUACCAGCACCCCGAGUGGUCGGGACGUUUAUUGGGCCUAAAGCAUCCGUAGCCGGUUCUACAAGUCUUCCGUUAAAUCCACCUGCUUAACAGAUGGGCUGCGGAAGAUACUAUAGAGCUAGGAGGCGGGAGAGGCAAGCGGUACUCGAUGGGUGGGGGUAAAAUCCGUUGAUCCAUUGAAGACCACCAGUGGCGAAGGCGGCUUGCCAGAACGCGCUCGACGGUGAGGGAUGAAAGCUGGGGGAGCAAACCGGAUUAGAUACCCGGGUAGUCCCAGCUGUAAACGAUGCAGACUCGGUGAUGAGUUGGCUUAUUGCUAACUCAGUGCCGCAGGGAAGCCGUUAAGUUUGCCGCCUGGGGAGUACGGUCGCAAGACUGAAACUUAAAG